rnacentral:rRNA from 1 species
UACGUAGGUGGCAAGCGUUGUCCGGAUUUAUUGGGCGUAAAGGGCGCGCAGGCGGUUCGUUUAGUCCGAGGUGAAAUCUCCCGGCUCAACUGGGAGGGGUCUUUGGAUACUGGCGGACUUGAGGUGAGCAGAGGUGAGCGGAAUUCUGGGUGUAGUGGUGAAAUGCGUAGAUAUCCAGAGGAACACCAGUGGCGAAGGCGGCUCACUGGGCUCCACCUGACGCUGAGGCGCGAAAGCUAGGGGAGCAAACGGG